rnacentral:rRNA from 1 species
CCUACGGGAGACAGCAGUGGGGAAUAUUGGGCAAUGGGCGCAAGCCUGACCCAGCAACGCCGCGUGAAGGAUGAAGGCUUUCGGGUUGUAAAGUUCUGUUCUCAGGGAUGAACACAGUGACGGUACCUGAGGAAUAAGCCACGGCUAACUACGUGCCAGCAGCCGCGGUAAUACGUAGGUGGCAAGCGUUAUCCGGAUUGAUUGGGUGUAAAGGGCGUGUAGGCGGGUUCGCAAGUCAGCUGUGAAAACUCAGGGCUCAACCCUGGCGCUACAGUCAAAACUGUGUGUCUUGAGUGCUGGAGAGGUAAUCGGAAUUCCGUGUGUAGCGGUGGAAUGCGUAGAUAUAAGGAGGAACAUCAGGGGCGAAGGCGGAUUGCUGGACAGUAACUGACGCUGAGGCGCGAAAGCGUGGGGAGCAAACAGGAUUAGAUACCCUAGUAGUC